CGCACCUACCAUGGGAAACGCAUACGAGCCCCCGACCAAGACAGCGUGCCGGCUGGAGGUGGUGGGCAUGGUGUCGUCGAUCCGCUACGACUGCACCACGUCGUCAUGCCUCGUCACCACCAUUCUCAACGGGACGCACGUCUUCAACCUCGACGACAGCUUCUACGGUGCCAACCUCGCCGCAGGGCUGUCGGCCAGUAACGUGGAGAGCUACCCCUAUCACUCGAUCGGCGAGGAGCCGCUGAUGUCCUCAUGCUUCUUCAAUGCAGGUCAACUCUUCGCUGUGGGAUCGUCUUGUGGCAGUGUGACUGUCGUGUCACGCCGAUCACGUGCGUUGACGUCGUGCUACGCAACCCCUGACUCGUUUCCGAUUCGUUCUCUCUCUGAAAUUCCAGCCCAGCCAAACUGCCUACUGACGUGCACCGAGCAAGGGGCUGCAAUCGUUGACGUGGAGCGUUCGCAGCUGCGCAUGAGUUUGGCGAACCCCGCCGCUGGGCGUGCCGUCGCUGCGGUGCCGCUGCAGCUGCACACCUUUAUUGUGGCCAACUACGAUGGCAAGGUGUUGCUCUACGACACGCGUUAUCGAAGCUCUCCCAGCUCGGUGCUCUCGCUACCAGAUCAGAUCACUUGCCUCGCGGUCGCACGCGACACAUCAGAGGUCUGUGUCGGCACUGUUGGGGGUCGAGUCUUCACCCUGCGCUGCGCCGAGGGCCCUCAGCGGGAGCAGGCAUUUGGCAUGAGCAACAGGCGUUCGCCAGUGCGUUGUGUUGCGAUUGACAACGGCCGCAUCGCUGCGGGAGACUUGGCGGGCCGCCUUGCCCUGAUCGAUACAGCAGACGUGCCGGAUCCGACGGUCUACUGGUCUGCGGAGACGCUACUACGGCUUUCGAGGCCGAGCGGCCGUGCAGGCACGCUCGAUGUGCCCGUCGACACUUCCGCCGCCUCGGCGGCGUUUUCGGGUACCGAGGUAACCGCGGUGGCAUUGGCGCAGGGGACGGCUUGGAUGUCGUUUUGCUCUCCAAAGAAUGCUACGUCGCAGGUGGUAGCCAUACCUGCUUGAGGUCGCGGCACGAGGAGCAGACAAGACGGAACGGCCAUUUCCAGAGUAGGUAGCCGGAGCAUAGACAGUGUAACGUAGCGCUAAGUCGGGGUGGUGUGGGGAGAGCAACUUGGUCUACGAGAGGCGCCAUCCGGUAUGACGCUUAGUUAUGGCUUGUCUCCAUCCCUCCCCCCUUUUCACGCAUCCGGGACUGCUGUUCGUGUGUCUGCUUCAAGGACUGCCGUGGCUGCGCGGUGACAGAGACCGCUGCUCUGAUGCGUGUGAGCACACGGGUGACGAAGACUGCUUUCUUCUCUGUCUAGAUUCUUCUGUCCAUUACGCGGAGCGUAUCGUGAGGACCUCUUUAGACUCCGCAGCAGCAUUUUGCGCUCCGCGAGAGCCGCGUUUCAUGGGCGCGUACAGUUUUAGAUGACCAACGCUUACAGAAGGCGGCAACCAAG
rnacentral:misc_RNA from 1 species